GGGCAUGUAGCUCAGCGGUUAGAGCGCCACUCUUAUAAAGUGGAAGUCGAUGGUUCGAAUCCAUCCAUGCCCACUA
rnacentral:tRNA from 1 species